rnacentral:rRNA from 1 species
UACGUAGGGUCCGAGCGUUGUCCGGAAUUAUUGGGCGUAAAGAGCUCGUAGGCGGUCCGUUAAGUCGGAAGUGAAAUCUCAAGGCUCAACCUUGAAAUCGCUUUCGAUACUGGCGGACUUGAGGCAGGUAGGGGAAGGUGGAAUUCCUGGUGUAGCGGUGAAAUGCGCAGAUAUCAGGAGGAACACCGAUGCGAAGGCAGGUCUCUGGGCCACUACUGACGCUGAGAAGCGAAAGCAUGGGGAGCGAAACAGG